CGCGUAGGCGGCAUGCCAAGCGUGUGGUGAAAGCCCGGGGCUCAACCCCGGGUCGGCCAUGCGGACUGGCGUGCUCGAGCACUGUAGGGGCGGGUGGAAUUCCGGGUGUAGCGGUGGAAUGCGUAGAGAUCCGGAAGAACACCGGUGGCGAAGGCGGCCCGCUGGGCAGGAAGACGUCGCAAGACGUCGGCUGACGCUGAGGCGCGACAGCGUGGGGAGCAAACAGGAUUAGAUACCCUGGUAGUCCACGCCGUAAACGAUGGGCACUAGGUGCCUGGGGGAGCGACCCUCCGGGUGCCGGCGCUAACGCAUUAAGUGCCCCGCCUGGGGAGUACGGCCGCAAGGCUGAA
rnacentral:rRNA from 1 species